rnacentral:ribozyme from 14 species
AUACACAAAGAAGGAAGAAAAAAAGGACAGCAUCGUCGUCCGUAUCCUCUCUUUGAUGAUACUAAUUCUUUUCUAUUUCUACUCCUUCUCUUUUUCUUUCCCAUAAUU